GAUAAGAAGUGUGAGAAUACUUACAAGGGGAGAUAGAGUCAACGUUUGUAAUGGCUCAGCCAUUCCCAGUCCUUAUUCAAUCCUAAAUUGAUUGUAUCUAGUUUGCAUAUCAAUUCCAGCUCAGCAGUCUCUCGUUGGAGUCUGUUUUUGAAGUUUUUCUGUUGUAAUAUAGCCACCCGCAGGUCUGACAUUGAAUGGCCAGACAGGUUAAAGUGUUCUCCCACUGGUUUUUGAGUAUUAUGAUUCCUGAUGUCAGAUUUGUGUCCAUUAAUUCUUUUGCGUAGAUCAUAAUACUGUCUGGACCUCCGGCCUGGGCUCCUCGGCCCUUCGCUUGGGACACCCACGAGUCUGAGUCCAAAGUGUUCCCCGCCCGUCCCCGUCUAGUAGCAUCCAUCACAGUCCUGUUCUCACAGACACCUGCACCCAGAAAUCCUCCAACUUCUGCCCAGCCCCGCGGAGCCUCCUGGGGCCUGGAGAGUGACAGAAGCCAAGCGUUAUGACCUAUGGUGUUGGUGUAAAUUUCACCCCCCCACGCACAUACACUCACGUCUCCUGUUGUUUUUAUUCACUCAGCUUCUCCAGCGACGGAGGUGAUCGUAAAUACUGCGACCGCCACCCCACCCCCGACAGCUGCCCAAAGUCCGGCGAUGCCAGGCACCACCUCUGCAGCGCACGCCCCAGGCGAGCCAACUGGAAUCACAGAUACAGCCACUACUGCAGAGACAGUCGUGUUUCUCACUCGUCUUGUGACCAACAGCCCAGAUGAGACACAGCAAACAGUGGGCACCAUUAUCAUAGUGGAAACACUCACACCUGGCCAUGCCGGAGGUGGGCCCACCCAGGCCUCAGUUUCCCUUCUAGGCAUUAGCCCAGCUACGGCCUCUGCAACAGCCGUCAGCACUCCACUAGAAGAGACAGUCGGUGUUUCUGGUCAAGCAGCUCCCACCACAAAUGCAGCAAGUUCCACCCCCAUGGCAGACAUGCCGACAGCUGUCUUCUCGACCCUGGCCCCAGAGGAGACCUGGAGUACGGUGGGCUCCUUCAGUACAGCAGAGCCAUCCAGAGGUGUCCCCAUGACGACCGAGCUAGCUGACAGUACAGCAGCCACGCAUGCCACUGUCACGAGACGCCCAGCAGAGACUGAAACGACGGUGAUCAGCAUCGUACCAGCAGACGCUGCGACAGCCACCCCUGUCAGCACCACCCUUCCCAGUGCCAUAGCAACCUCUGCAACACCCACGGAAACAAGUACCGCAGCAGAGACCACCAGGCCUGCCUCUGUGCCAACUACCCCCAGUGCCACCAUGACGAGAGGGGGUCAGGCUGUAGUAGUACAAACAUUCACCACUGUCUUUUUCUCUAUCCCAGCUGAGCCCUCAACAGCAGAAACCACCGGCACGACUGCAGCAAAACAGACACUGGCAACUGCCUCUGACCCCUCUUUCGUAGUCAGAACCGUAACAGAAUGGGAGACAGCAUCCGGCGAAACUGAAACUACAGUGAGCAUCACAACAGCAGCGGGGAGCACGAUGGCACAGCCUGACCCCAGUGUCUCGGCGGGGAGCACAGGAACAGACCCUGCAGCUCCAGCGCUCUCCACCACAGACCCUCCCACCCCAGCGCCCAGUGAAACUCCAGCUGUACCGGCCACCACGACAGCAGCCACGGCCACUGGAGCAGCCACUGUCACAAGCCAGCACGUUCCAAGCACAGCCGCCGAAGCCACCACCCCCACAGCAGAGGCCAGCCCAGCAGCCCCACCUAUAGUGCAAUCCACACCAAAUGCAACCCCAGCUUUACUGACCACCACCUCGGCAGCAGAGACCACCAGAGCCACUCCUGACAUCACCCCACCCCUUGGAACCACAAAGACAGCAACCCCGACCACAGCAACCCAGGCUGUCCCCACGCCAGCUGACACGACACCCAUGGCAACUCUGACCAGCGCAGGAGAAACCACCGCAGCAACUCCAACAACCACCGCACCCCUGGAGACUGCUGCAGGAAGAGAGACACUCACAACAGCCUCUGUCGUUGCCACGCCAAACACAACCACAACUCAAGGGGCUGUCCCCACAGCGACAGAAACCAGCCCUUCAGUGCUUGUCACCCUCACCCCGCCGAGGGUGACUACCACGGCUGUUCAGACCACCGCACCAACGUCUGUCACCGCGUCCCCAAUGGAAACAGCAUCAACAGUGGGCUCCAGCACAGAAACCACCCCGGUGGCCAACAGCCCCACUGGUGUGUCGAGUACUGCAACAAGCGAGAGCACAGCCCCAGCUCCUCGCACCACGGCAGCAGAAAGGGGAACUUCAACGGGCACCAUGACAGAGACACUCAUCACCAGCACAACAGCUAAUACCACAACCGCCGUCAGCACCACUGCAGCAACAGAGGUUCCCCAAACACUCCGUACUACCACCGUCCCAGCUGGAAACACAACGGUUACAUUCCCAGCUACGGGAGGAGGGACAAACACAACCGCACAGGAUACCCCCCCACCGGCUCUAACUACACCUAUAGUGCAAUCCACACCAAAUGCAACCCCAGCUUUACUGACCACCACCUUGGCAGCAGAGACCACCAGAGCCACUCCUGACAUCACCCCACCCCGUGGAACCACAAAGACAGCGACCCCGACCAUAGCAACUCAGACUGUCCCCACGCCAGCUGACACGACACCCAUGGCAACUCUGACCAGCGCAGGAGAAACCACCGCAGCAACUCCAACAACCACCGCACACCUGGAGACUGCUGCAGGAAGAGAGACACUCACAACAGCCUCUGUCGUUGCCACGCCAAACACAACCACAACUCAAGGGGCUGUCCCCACAGCGACAGAAACCAGCCCUUCAGUGCUUGUCACCCUCACCCCGCCGAGGGUGACUACCACGGCUGUUCAGACCACCGCACCAACGUCUGUCACCGCGUCCCCAAUGGAAACAGCAUUAACAGUGGGCUCCAGCACAGAAACCACCCCGGUGGCCAACAGCCCCACCGGUGUGUCGAGUACUGCAACAAGCGAGAGCACAGCCCCAGCUCCUCGCACCACGGCAGCAGAAAGGGGAACUUCAACGGGCACCGUGACAGAGACACUCGUCACCAGCACNNNNNNNNNNUCAUCACCAGCACAACAGCUAAUACCACAACCGCCGUCAGGACCGCUGCAGCAACAGAGGUUCCCCAAACACUCCGUACUACCACCGUCCCAGCUGGAAACACGACGGUUACAUUCCCAGGUACAGCUAGCCCCACUGUGGCUGCACCGAGCACUCCAGCAACUCAGAACUUCAGUGCAGCUCCAACCACGGACUCCGCUGCUAGGCCUAACUCCACAGCCCGGCCCGGGAUCCCAGAUGUCACGACAGAAGAGCAGACAACAGCGGUGCCCAGCUGCCACCCUCCAGCUGCCAACACACCUGGUGCUCGCCUCUUCCUAUCACUGGGACUGACCACUCGCCUGAACAUCAGCGAGCCCCAGGUCAGGGGUAUGGUUUUGUCUAAGGUGAGCUUGGUGAAAUCUGACAGCUCUCCCAUAGACUGUCAACGCAGACCGCCAAGGGGAUUGCCUUUCAAAGCAACGGUUGAAUCGUUGGGGCUGAAUAGCCACUAGCACUGUAGAAAGAUGCAGAC
ensembl:lncRNA